rnacentral:rRNA from 1 species
UACGUAGGGGCGAGCGUUGUCCGGAAUAAUUGGGCGUAAAGGGCGCGUAGGCGGCUCUGCAAGUCAGUAGUGGAAGUCCCAUUUUCAAGGUGGGGAGGGCUAUUGAAACUGCGGAGCUUGAGUGCAGGAGAGGUUAUCGGAAUUCCCGGUGUAGCGGUGAAAUGCGUAGAGAUCGGGAGGAACACCAGUGGCGAAGGCGGGUAACUGGACUGCAACUGACGCUGAGGCGCGAAAGUGUGGGGAGCAAACAGGAUUAGAUACCCUGGUAGUCCCU